rnacentral:lncRNA from 1 species
GGCGGUCUCUGAUCCCGGUUGGGCUUGAGAUGCCCAACAUGACUAGGCCCUUGUUUGGUUUGUGUUACUCUCUCCUAUCACAAUCUCAUAAAUACUACUCCAUAGAUAGUGUUCGAUAUAAAUCUUAAACUGAUUAUCAAGGCUCUAUAGAAUAUCUCCAACAAGCUUGGCCCUAAAAUUCGAUGGUUGGGAACCAUGCUAAGCUUCUUCUAGAACUUGAACCAUGCCUCGUACAUAGAUUAUGACUACAGCUGCCUAAAAUUAUAGAUCUCAUUCUUGAGCUACAACACCCUAGAUAAAGGAAAGAAAUAGUUCAAGAAUUGCUUGCACAACUCAUCGCACAUCGUGAUAGAUGCUGUUGGAAGUUCUUCUAGCCAUAAUGAAGCUUCUCUAGUAAACGAGAAGAGGAACAAGGACAUAAAUAUCCAGAUCACCAAUGUUCGAGGUGUAAUGGAGAAGAUAAUAUUAUUCCAGAGGUACAUCUAGAAUAAAAAUCAAGAAGACAAAAUGCCAGCUGGAAAGAUAAAAUAAGGAGCAAUAAUGGAGCAGAUACGACAAAAUCA